UUGGGAAUAUUGGGCAAUGGGUGAGAGCCUGACCCAGCCAUGCCGCGUGCCGGAAGACGGCCCUCUGGGUUGUAAACGGCUUUUAUGAGGGAACACAAGGGUCCUGCGGGACAGAUUGCGUGUACCUCAUGAAUAAGCACCGGCUAACUCCGUGCCAGCAGCCGGGGGAAUACGGAGGGUGCCAGCCUUGUCCGGAUUUAUUGGGUUUAAAGGAUACGUAGGCGGAAUGCUAAGUCCGAGGUGAAAGCCCACCGCUCAACGGUGGAGGUGCCUUGGAUACUGGUAAUCUUGAGUGCCGUAGAGGUAGGCGGAAUUCAUGGUGUAGCGGUGAAAUGCAUAGAUACCAUGAGGAACACCGAUAGGGAAGCCAGCUUACUAGACGGUCACUGACGCUGAGGUACGAAAGCGUGGGGAGCGAACAGGAUUAGAUACCCGCGUAGUCC
rnacentral:rRNA from 1 species